CAAUUACAAGUAAGAACCACUUAAUUAAGUAAUAAAAGAGGAUAAAUGAGACUAAAAAUUGAAAAAAAAUAUUCUGCUCCUUUCUUCCUCAAAGUUGCCGCACCACCAUGGAAGAGUUCCUCUUCCAUUUUUUAAGCUUUCAAGCUUGAAUUCCCACCCUUCCUCACCCUAAAAGCUCUGACCACCUUCACUAAAAAUUAUACCCACA
rnacentral:misc_RNA from 1 species